GGUGGGUUGGCUCAGUGGUUAGAGCGUAGGUCUCGUAACCAUAAGGUUGCGGGAUCGAAUCCCGCUAGAGGCUG
rnacentral:tRNA from 1 species